AUUGAACGCUGGCGGCAGGCCUAACACAUGCAAGUCGAGCGGAGCGGCGGACGGGUGAGUAAUGUCUGGGAAACUGCCUGAUGGAGGGGGAUAACUACUGGAAACGGUAGCUAAUACCGCAUACUAUCAGAUGAGCCUAGUUCGGAUUAGCUAGUGGGUGGGGUAAAGGCCUACCAAGGCGACGAUCCGUAACUGGUCUGAGAGGCUGAUCAGUCACCCUUGAACGGAGACACGGUCAAGACUCCUACGGGAGGCAGCAGUGGGGAAUGUUGGACAAUGGGCGGAAGCCUGGUCCAGCCAUGCCGCGGGUGUGAAGAAGGUCUUCGGAUUGUAAAGCACUUUAAGUUGGGAGGCGUUACCAACAGAAUAAGCACCGGCUAACUUCGUGCCAGCAGCCGCGGUAAUUC
rnacentral:rRNA from 1 species